CCGGUUACUUUUCCAGCUACCUCCUGUGAUGUCAUAUUCAGAGGAGCGUCGCAUCCCCUCUGUCCCUGCCUCAGCGUGGAGCCAGCCAUAUUGUUUUCAGUGCUCUCCCACUUGGCUCUAUCCAGGCAUGGCAUACAGACCAUCCGCCCACCCUACAAGGCCCUAAUAAACCCCAUCCCCUUACCACCUGCUUGGAAGAUUUGGAAAUUUAUGAAUUUGCCUUGAAAAAGUAGGGGAAUUUGAUGGUUGCUGUUCCACUAUAUAAAAGUGUCAUUGUUUGGUUAUGCAUUUACCAGGUGAUGGACAUAAACACCCUCACAGACACUUUGAAAUAAUGUUUUACUAGAUAUCUGGGCCUCCCUUAGCUUGAUCAAUCUGGCAUGUAAAAUGAGCCAUCACAAAUGGGAACUCAAAAGAAGAUAGGGAUCUGCGGCAUCCUGGGUGCCUGGAACAUCGGCACACAGCACUGGGUUAGAUUGCAAUUCCUGGUCCUUCCAACAAAAGUGACAUGUAUCACCUCCAAGAGAAGCAUUUCAUUGCCCAUGUGAGGCACUCCAGCACCCCCUCUUCCUCUUUGGGAGUUGCGAAGGCAAGUGCUGCCAUGCAUACUAGACCAUCCUGGACUCUGGGUGACCAUGAAAAAUGCUCCUCCAUUUUCCCCCAAAGAGACCAUCAGGAUUCCAUCCUCUGCCCAUCCAAUCUGUGUGGGGAUGUGCCAUCUUCUGGCUCCAGGAAUGGGUAGAUUAGGAGAGCCAAGUACAGGAUAGUAUAUCAUCCUUUAGAAAUCGGGGCGUCCACAGUUCAAGUCUGCUAAUGAGCAUCAGGCCCAGGACUCCUACUGCAACAUUUAUCAAAGAGAUGUAUCUCUCCACCAGGGUUGUCAGGCUGAUAGGACAUGUGUCUAAUGCUGCUAGUGGCUAUCUUGCUACCAACUCGAAAAAGCUUGACAUAUAUCAAAACUAAUACACAAAAAGCCCAAAAUCAAGAAUUAAAGAGAAAUUGAUGCUGGA